rnacentral:ncRNA from 1 species
GGUGCGUUUUUCGCGCCGAAAAGAGGGAACCCGGUGAAAAACCGGGACAGCUACCACUACUGUAAGUGUUAAAGGAUUGUUACCCAUUGGACGUCGUCCGAGAAGGAAUCCGUUUGCUCCGGGUUGCCCGGUGCAAAUCACGAGUCAGGAGACCUGCCGCAUGUGAA